rnacentral:tRNA from 2 species
GCCCGGUUAGCUCAGAUGGUAGAGCAUCAGACUUUUAAUCUGAGGGUCAUGAGUUCGAGCCCCAUAUCGGGCG